rnacentral:sRNA from 1 species
GGCCUGUAGCUGCUGCACGUUAUGAGUGUGUUCCUGGCAUGACUGCUUCUAACAGUGACCAUUUCAUUAAGUUUUUAAGUGCCUGGUAAUUGCUUGGUUAUGACCGGUGUCUGCUCCAUGGCAGCCUCUUCCUGGGACCAGAUCUGAACAGUCUGGAGAGAGGAGCUGUGGUGGCAGCAGACAGAUCUCUGCUUCAGGGGCCAGGUGUCCAGAAGAAAUGCUGAGGCAGUGUCACGCUGGUGUCUGUCCUCCUUACAGAAUGCCUGAACAGUUCCAUUGACUCAAAGUGAAGAUCAAAAGAACCAAAGGACAGCAAUAGCCAAGUGUAAUCAUCAGUAACCCUGUGUUCUAUCCACAGGUAAAAAACAAUCAUCCUCUUCAUUAUGGGUUUCAAUUUUAAAUGUAAUACAUUUUUAGAAAUGCCUA